rnacentral:rRNA from 1 species
AUGAACGCUAGCGGCAGGCCUAAUACAUGCAAGUCGAACGGUCGUAGUAAUACGAUAGUGGCGCACGGGUGCGUAACACGUAUGCAACCUACCUUAUACUGGGGGAUAGCCUUUGGAAACGGAGAUUAAUACCCCAUAGUAUUAUUGACUGGCAUCGGUUAAUAAUUAAAGAUCUAUUGGUAUAAGCUGGGCAUGCGUCCAAUUAGCUAGUUGGUGAGGUAAUGGCUCACCAAGGCUAUGAUUGGUAGGGGAACUGAGAGGUUAAUCCCCCACACUGGCACUGAGAUACGGGCCAGAACUCCUACGGGAGGCAGCAGUAGGGAAUAUUGGGCAAUGGAGGCAACUCUGACCCAGCCAUGCCGCGUGCAGGACGAAGGCGUUAUGCGUUGUAAACUGCUUUUUAUAUAGGAAGAAAGAGUUCUUUGCGAGAACAGUCGACGGUACUAUAUGAAUAAGCACCGGCUAACUCCGUGCCAGCAGCCGCGGUAAUACGGAGGGUGCAAGCGUUGUCCGGAUUUAUUGGGUUUAAAGGGUGCGUAGGCGGUUUAUUAAGUCAGUGGUGAAAGACGGUCGCUCAACGAUUGCAGUGCCAUUGAUACUGGUAGACUUGAGUGAG